rnacentral:rRNA from 1 species
AUGUAUGAUAUGGCUGGGACAGGUAGAAAGGUUGUUCAAGAAAAUAAUGUUAGAAGGCGUAUAACAAUUAAAGAAUUUCAAACGCUUUCGGAUUACUCACCUAGCAAAGAGGAAGAGGCAUGCUUGCGUGGAUCGGCUUGGAUAGGUUGGCUGGUGAUGAUAUGUCUAUUUCGACCAGCAGCGGUUAUUUCACUACCACUAGAUCAGAGAGACAAACCCGGCUGGAGGAUCAACAUCAUAGAUAUAAGAAGAGAACAAGAGCUUCGCAAUUCUGCAUUGAGUACCCACUAUCACUACAUGUAG